rnacentral:rRNA from 1 species
UUAUUAUGAGAGUUUGAUCCUGGCUCAGGACGAACGCUGGCGGCGUGCCUAAUACAUGCAAGUCGAACGCUUCUUUCCUCCCGAGUGCUUGCACUCAAUUGGAAAGAGGAGUGGCGGACGGGUGAGUAACACGU